UACGGGGGGGGCAAGCGUUGUUCGGAAUUACUGGGCGUAAAGGGCUCGUAGGUGGCCAACUAAGUCAGACGUGAAAUCCCUCGGCUUAACCGGGGAACUGCGUCUGAUACUGGAUGGCUUGAGUUCGGGAGAGGGAUGCGGAAUUCCAGGUGUAGCGGUGAAAUGCGUAGAUAUCUGGAGGAACACCGGUGGCGAAGGCGGCAUCCCGGACCGACACUGACACUGUAAAACGAAAGCCAGGGGAGCAAACGGG
rnacentral:rRNA from 1 species